CACGUAGUUAGCCGGUGCUUCUUCUGCCACUACCGUCACUUGCGCUUCGUCAUGGCUGAAAGCGGUUUACAACCCGAAGGCCGUCAUCCCGCACGCGGCGUUGCUGCAUCAGACUUCCGUCCAUUGUGCAAUAUUCCCCACUGCUGCCUCCCGUAGGAGUCUGGGCCGUAUCUCAGUCCCAAUGUGGCCGGUCGCCCUCUCAGGCCGGCUACCCGUCGACGCCUUGGUAGGCCAUUACCCCACCAACAAGCUGAUAGGACGCGAGUCCAUCCCUGACCGAAAAAACUUUCCAACCCCCCGGAUGCCCGGAGAACUGAAUAUUCGGUAUUAGCAGACGUUUCCAUCCGUUAUCCCAAAGUCAGGGGCAGGUUACUCACGCGUUACUCACCCGUUCGCCACUCGUGUACCCCGAAGGGCCUUACCGUUCGACUUGCAUGUGUUAAGCACGCCGCCAGCGUUCGUCCUGAGCCAGGAUCAAACUCU
rnacentral:rRNA from 1 species